rnacentral:rRNA from 1 species
AUUAGCUAGUUGGUGGGGUAACGGCCUACCAAGGCGAUGAUCAGUAGCCGGUCUGAGAGGAUGAACGGCCACAUUGGGACUGAGACACGGCCCAAACUCCUACGGGAGGCAGCAGUGGGGAAUAUUCCGCAAUGGACGAAAGUCUGACGGAGCAACGCCGCGUGAGUGAUGAAGGUUUUCGGACUGUAAAGCUCUGUUGUUUAGGACGAAAGUGCCUGCUGCGAACAGUUGCAGGUAUUGACGGUACUGAACGAGGAAGCCACGGCUAACUACGUGCCAGCAGCCGCGGUAAUACGUAGGUGGCAAGCGUUGUCCGGAAUUAUUGGGCGUAAAGAGCAUGUAGGCGGGAAUCUAAGUCUGUUGUGAAAAUGCGGGGCUCAACCCCGUAUGGCGAUGGAAACUGGAUUUCUUGAGUGCAGGAGAGGAAAGGGGAAUUCCCAGUGUAGCGGUGAAAUGCGUAGACAUUGGGAGGAACACCAGUGGCGAAGGCGCCUUUCUGGACUGUGUCUGACGCUGAGAUGCGAAAGCCAGGGUAGCGAACGGGAUUAGAUACCCCGGUAGUCCUGGCCGUAAAC